rnacentral:sRNA from 1 species
CGCUAUACUAGCCGUUGAAUUUGCUGGACUCACGUGCUACGAGACAGCAUUCACCUGUGU